rnacentral:rRNA from 1 species
UCGUAACAAGGUUUCCGUAGGUGAACCUGCGGAAGGAUCAUUAAUGAGAUAGGGUUCUUUGAGCCUGACCUCCAACCCUUUGUUAAAUCUACCAUGUUGCUUUGGCGGGCCCGCCCUUGGGCCGCCGGGAGUGUUCAGUCGCCCCUGGUCUGUGCCCGCCAGUAGCCAAUCUUAAUUCUUCUUAACCAUGUCGUCUGAAAAUUAAACAAAAUUUAAUUAAAACUUUUAACAACGGAUCUCUUGGUUCUGGCAUCGAUGAAGAACGCAGCGAAAUGCGAUAAGUAAUGUGAAUUGCAGAAUUCAGUGAAUCAUCGAAUCUUUGAACGCACAUUGCGCCCUUUGGUAUUCCGAAGGGCAUGCCUGUUCGAGCGUCAUUUUCAACCAUCAAGCCCGGCUUGUAAUUGGGUCCUUAUCGUUAAAGAUAGGCCCGAAAGAUAAUGGCGGUGUCAAGAUUGGCCCCAGGUGCAGCGAGCUUUGUAAGCAUACACCGUGGUGGUCAUCUUAACCCGGUCCUUUAACUAUUUUUCUAAGGUUGACCUCGGAUCAGGUAGGAUUACCCGCUGAACUUAAGCAUAUCA